CGUGAGAGAGUCGCGACCCUGUGUCGCGUGUGUGUGUGUGAGCUGGCCCACAGAAGAAAAAGUAUCGAGUCGGAAAUUUUAAAAUUCAGUUGAAUAAGUGCCAAGUGACCGAGCAGAAGUCACUCUCGUCAGCAGAGCUCUCUGAACGACUCCGACCGCCCGCCGCCACCCCUUUCUAGAGGAACAGUGUCUCUUGUCGCUACAAACGGUUUCGUGGGACACACGAUCCUUCGCGGAAUCGAGUGUUGGAGUCUGGACUCCAGGGACUCAAAGUCGUCGAGUGUUGUGCAGUUUUUAAAUUCAAGAUUCAUUCAUAUCUAGUGACAUUGUUUAAAGUUUUAGUAGUUUUGAGUUGUUAAGUUUUCUUAUUUGCCAUAAAGUAUUAAAUCUCAUAAGUUUGUAUAUUUUAAAGUAGUUUAUUUUUGUUACACAUUCAUUUUAAAACACAACUUAAGCCCUAAACGGGUUGUCCCAUCUCUGUGUGAUUGUUAUACAUUUGUGGUUUUCCUACGUUUCAUUGUAUACCGCCGUCGAAUAAAAGCAAAAAGAAGAAGCAAACAAAACAAAUAAGCGCGAACGCAGCGAAGAAAACGAAGAAGCAAGUAGAAGAAGAAAAAGUUCUGCGCUGGAAUAACAUCAUCAACCACAACAAAUCCAACGACAACAACACCCCACCGCCAACUACGACGAGAGUCGAGUUGUGGUGUGCGUGCGUGACAAACCGAAGCGAAACUCCCGAUAAAGCAAAUAGAGAAGAAAAUACCAACUUCAAAAAGGUGUGCGCACUCACACACUCAUUUAGGGGCCCUUCUCGCUGAGAAAUUAAAAAAAAAAACAGGAAGAAAGAAGCUCCAUCGCUCAAUUUUGUGUGAUUUGUUUCAUUAAAACAGCAAAAAAAAAACAAACCUAAAAGCAGAGAAAACAGCAAAAGAUAAAACACAAAAAAAAGUAAAAUAAAUCGACAAAUUGUCAGUGCAAGUGCAGCAAAGAGAGUAGUGUGAAGUUAAAGAAAGCAACAGCGAAAAAAAAACUACCAGCAAAAAUGGCAGAUGAUCUGCGAGACCGUAACGAUCCGGAGCUCAAGUACCUCUCGGUGGAACGGAACUCCUUCAACGAUCCGGCCACGCAAGCCGAGUGGACACAGAAGCGGCUCGUCUGGGUGCCGCACGAGACACAGGGAUUCGUGGCGGCCAGCAUCAAAGGCGAACGCGGCGAUGAGGUCGAGGUGGAACUGGCCGAAACCGGCAAGCGCGUCCUCGUGCUCAAGGACGACAUCCAGAAGAUGAACCCGCCCAAAUUCGACAAGGUCGAGGACAUGGCCGAGCUCACCUGUCUGAACGAGGCGUCCGUGCUGCACAACAUCAAGGACCGAUACUACUCCGGCUUGAUCUAUACCUACUCCGGCCUGUUCUGCGUGGUGGUCAACCCGUACAAAAAGCUGCCCAUCUACACCGAGAAGAUCAUGGAGAAGUACAAAGGCAUCAAGCGGCACGAGGUGCCGCCACACGUCUUCGCAAUCACAGACACCGCGUACAGAUCGAUGCUGCAAGAUCGAGAAGACCAGUCUAUCCUGUGUACCGGUGAGUCGGGUGCUGGUAAGACCGAGAACACAAAGAAGGUGAUACAGUAUUUGGCGUACGUGGCCGCCUCCAAACCGAAGGGAUCCGUUGCGGCACCGUCACCGGCACUGAUCAUCAGUGGUUCAACCCUAUCGGGCGAGCUGGAACAGCAGCUGCUUCAAGCCAAUCCCAUCCUGGAGGCCUUCGGAAACGCCAAAACGGUGAAAAACGACAACUCGUCACGAUUUGGCAAAUUCAUCCGGAUAAAUUUCGACGCGUCCGGCUACAUCUCCGGUGCCAACAUCGAGACGUACCUGCUGGAAAAGUCCCGUGCCAUUCGACAAGCCAAGGAUGAGCGUACAUUCCACAUUUUCUACCAGCUGCUGGCGGGGGCGACGCCGGAACAGCGCGAAAAGUUCAUCCUGGACGACAUGAAGACGUACCCGUUCCUGUCGAACGGGCCGCUGCCGGUGGCGGGGGUGGACGACGCGUUCGAGUACCAGGCCACGGUCAAGAGUAUGAACAUCAUGGGCAUGACCGAGGACGACUUCAACUCGAUCUUCCGCAUCGUGAGCGCGGUGCUGCUGUUCGGGUCGAUGAAGUUCAAGCAGGAGCGCAGCUCGGACCAGGCGACGCUGCCGGACAACACGGUCGCACAAAAGAUCGCCCACCUGCUGGGGCUGAGCGUGACGGACAUGACCAAGGCGUUCCUGACGCCGCGGAUCAAGGUCGGUCGGGAUUUUGUCACCAAGGCACAAACCAAGGAGCAGGUCGAGUUUGCGGUGGAAGCGAUCGCGAAGGCCUGUUACGAGAAGAUGUUCAAGUGGUUGGUUAACCGGAUCAACCGCUCGUUGGACCGGACAAAGCGGCAGGGAGCUUCGUUUAUUGGAAUUCUCGAUAUGGCGGGUUUCGAAAUCUUCGACCUGAACUCGUUCGAGCAGUUGUGCAUCAACUAUACGAACGAGAAGCUGCAGCAGCUGUUCAACCACACGAUGUUCAUCCUGGAGCAGGAAGAGUACCAGCGGGAAGGCAUCGAGUGGAAGUUUAUCGACUUUGGGUUGGAUCUGCAGCCGACGAUUGACCUGAUUGAUAAACCGGGCGGUAUUAUGGCACUGUUGGACGAGGAAUGUUGGUUCCCCAAGGCCACCGACAAGACGUUCGUGGAGAAGCUGGCCACGGCGCACACGAUGCAUCCCAAGUUCAUGAAGACGGACUUCCGUGGCGUGGCCGAUUUCGCGGUGGUUCAUUACGCCGGCAAGGUGGACUAUUCCGCCACCAAGUGGUUGAUGAAGAACAUGGACCCGUUGAACGAGAACAUUGUCUCGCUGCUGCAGGGCUCGCAGGAUCCGUUCGUUUGCCAGAUCUGGAAGGACGCCGAAAUCGUGGGAAUGGCCCAGCAGGCGCUUACCGACACCCAGUUUGGAGCCCGCACCCGCAAGGGUAUGUUCCGCACGGUGUCCCAUCUGUACAAGGAGCAACUGGCCAAACUGAUGGACACCCUGCGCAACACGAACCCCAACUUUGUGCGCUGUAUCAUUCCGAAUCACGAGAAGCGCGCCGGCAAGAUCGACGCCCCGUUGGUUCUGGAUCAGCUGCGGUGUAACGGUGUCCUGGAGGGUAUCCGUAUCUGCCGCCAGGGCUUCCCGAACCGAAUUCCCUUCCAGGAGUUCCGCCAGCGGUACGAACUGCUCACGCCGAACGUCAUCCCGAAGGGCUUCAUGGACGGCAAGCGUGCCUGCGAGCAGAUGAUCAAGGCCCUCGAGCUGGACAACAAUCUGUUCCGCAUCGGACAGUCCAAGAUCUUCUUCCGUGCCGGAGUGCUUGCCCAUCUGGAGGAGGAGCGUGACUACAAGAUCACCGACCUGAUCGUCAACUUCCAGGCGUACUGCCGGGGUUUCCUCGCGCGUCGCAACUACCAGAAGCGCCUUCAGCAGCUCAACGCCAUCCGAAUCAUCCAACGAAACUGUGCCGCUUACCUCAAACUGCGCAACUGGCAAUGGUGGAGACUGUACACCAAGGUGAAACCGCUGCUCGAAGUGACCAAGCAGGAGGAGAAGCUCGUCCAAAAGGAGGACGAACUGCGCCAGAUCCGCGACAAGCUGGACAAUCUGUCCAAGAACUCGCAAGAAUACGAGCGAAAGUUCCAGCAGGCCAUCGAGGAAAAGACCCACCUUGCCGAGCAACUCCAGGCCGAGAUCGAACUGUGCGCCGAAGCGGAAGAAGGCCGUGCCCGGCUCGCAGCUCGCAAGCAAGAGUUGGAAGAGCUGAUGCAAGACCUGGAAGCGCGCAUCGAAGAGGAAGAAGAACGCGUAAAUGCCUUGUCCAACGAGAAAAAGAAGCUCCAGAUUAACAUCCAAGACCUGGAGGAACAACUUGAAGAGGAAGAAGCCGCUCGGCAAAAGCUCCACCUCGAAAAGGUCCAACUGGACGCCAAGCUGAAAAAGAUGGAGGAGGAAGUCGCGCUGACCGAGGACCAAAACCAGAAGCUCCUCAAGGAGAAGAAAAUCAUCGAAGAACGUGCCAACGACCUGUCCCAGACUCUCGCCGAAGAGGAGGAGAAGGCCAAACAUCUCGCGAAACUGAAGGCGAAGCAUGAAUCCACCAUCGCCGAACUGGAAGAACGCCUCCUCAAGGACCACCAGCAGCGACAGGAAACGGACCGCUCCAAGCGGAAGAUCGAAACCGAAGUCGCCGACUUGAAGGAACAAAUCAACGAGCGUCGCAUCCAGGUCGAGGAGAUGCAGCAGCAGUUGAUCAAGCGCGAGGAGGAACUGGCGCAGACGUUGGUGCGGAUUGACGAGGAAUCUGCAGCGAAGGCCGCUGCGCAGAAGGUUCAGCGCGAGCUGGAGUCCCAGCUGGCUGAGAUUCAGGAGGAUCUGGAAGCGGAAAAGCUUGCUCGGUCGAAGGCCGAGAAGCAGAAGCGCGACUUGAACGAGGAGCUGGAGGCGCUCAAGAACGAGCUGCUCGACUCGCUGGACACCACCGCUGCCCAACAGGAGCUGCGCUCGAAGCGCGAACAGGAGGUGGCCACCCUCAAGAAGACGCUCGAGGACGAAUCGUCGAACCACGAGGCGUCGCUGCAGGAGAUGCGCCACAAGCACAUGCAGGAAAUCUCCUCCAUCAACGAGCAGCUCGAAAACUUCAAGAAGGUCAAGGGAGGGCUGGAGAAGGCGAAGCAGACGCUCGAGGCGGAAAACGCCGACCUGGCGACCGAGCUGCGUAACGUGAACCAGUCGCGGCAGGAGAACGACCGCCGCCGCAAGCAGGCCGAAACGCAGAUCGCCGAACUGCAGGUUAAACUGGUCGAGGUGGAGCGAGCCCGCUCGGAGCUGCAGGACAAGGUCACGAAGCUGCAGCAAGAAACCGACAACAUCACCCAGCAGCUGGACGAGGCCGAACUUAAGGCGUCCGCGGCGAUCAAGAGCGCCAGCAGCAUGGAGAGCCAGCUGACCGAGUCGCAGCAGCUGCUGGAGGAGGAAACGCGCCAGAAGCUGGCGCUGAGCUCGAAGCUGCGCCAACUGGAGAGCGAAAAGGAAGCCUUGCAGGAGCAGCUCGAGGAGGACGAGGAAGCGAAGAAGAACUACGAGAAGAAGCUGGCCGAACUCAACUUUACCAUCCAGGACAUGAAGAAGCGGUCCGAGGAAGACUCGGACCUCGCCAAGGAGCUCGAGGAGUCCAAGAAGAAGAUGAACAAGGACCUGGAGACGCUGCAGCGGCAGAUCCAGGAGCUGCAGGCCGCCAACGAUCGGCUGGACAAGAGCAAGAAGAAGAUCCAGUCCGAGCUGGAGGACGCCACGAUCGAGCUGGAGACGCAACGCACCAAGGUGUUGGACCUGGAGAAGAAGCAGAAGAACUUUGACAAAGUGCUGGCGGAGGAGAAGGCCGUCAGUGAGCAGAACGCGCAGGAGCGGGACGCGGCCGAGCGGGAAGCUCGCGAGAAGGAAACGAAGGUGUUGUCGCUGACGCGCGAGCUGGACGAGGCGUACGAGAAGAUCGACGACCUGGAGGGCAAACGCAAGGCACUGCAGAACGAGCUGGACGAGUUGGCUAACACACAGGGAACCGCCGACAAGAACGUGCACGAACUGGAGAAGGCCAAGCGCGCCCUGGAGAGCCAGCUCGCGGAGCUGAAGGCCCAGAACGAGGAACUCGAGGACGAUCUGCAGCUGACGGAGGAUGCCAAGCUUCGGUUGGAGGUCAACAUGCAAGCGUUGCGAGCCCAGUUCGAGCGGGACAUCCAAGCCAAGGAGGAGCAGUCCGAGGAGAAGCGUCGCGGUCUGGUGAAGGCCCUCCGGGAUCUGGAAGCCGAACUCGACGAGGAGCGAAAACAACGGGCAGCGGCCGUCGCGGCCAAGAAGAAGCUCGAGGGAGACCUCAAGGACAUCGAAGCGACCCUCGAAAUGAACAACAAGGUCAAGGAGGACGCCCUCAAGCAGGCCAAGAAGCUGCAAGCCCAGGUCAAGGACGCCGUCCGAGACGCGGAGGAAGCUAAGGCCGCUAAGGAGGAAUUAGCGGCCGUUAGUAAGGAAGCCGAGCGCAAGGCGAAGGCCCUGGAAGCGGAAGUCAUGCAGCUUUCGGAGGACUUUGCCAGUUCCGAGCGUGCCCGGCGAGCGGCCGAAGCCGAACGGGACGAACUCCUCGAGGAAAUCAACUCCAACUCCAACAAGGGCUCGCUCAUGAUCGACGAGAAGCGAAGGUUAGAGGCCCGCAUCGCCACCCUCGAGGAAGAGCUCGAGGAGGAACAGUCCAACGCGGAACUGCUCGUAGACCGAAACCGCAAGGCCCAACUCACGAUCGAACAGCUCACCACCGAACUGCAGGCGGAGAAAUCCAACGCGCAAAAGUACGAAAACGUCAAGACCGGCCUCGAACGCCAGAACAAGGAACUGAAGGCGAAGCUGUCCGAGCUGGAGACGGCCCAGCGCACCAAGGUGAAGGCGGCCAUGGCCAGCCUCGAAGCCAAGAUCGCCAACCUCGAGGAGCAGCUAGAGAACGAAACCAAGGAACGACUGACGGGCCAGAAGGCGAACCGCAAGCUCGAGAAGAAGAUCAAGGAGCUCACGAUGAACAUCGAGGACGAGCGGCGACACGCGGACCAGUACAAGGAGCAGAUCGAAAAGAUGAACAAUCGCAUGAAGAUCCUGAAGCGAAACCUGGACGAGGCCGAGGAGGAAAUCCAGAAGGAGAAGACGCAAAAGCGAAAGGCCCAGCGCGAGUGCGAGGACAUGCUCGAAAGCCACGAGGCGCUCUCGCGGGAGGUCAACUCGCUCAAGACCAAGCUCAGUACACGAAAAGAGUGAGAUCAGUCCGCUGCUGGUGGUCGGCAGCAGCGGCGGGACAAGUCAGCCUCGAGGCAACUUCAGUAAAAUCCUCGACAACACCGUGUAUAGAAAAACAAAGAGAUAAGAGAGAAGCUGUGUCUGUUUUAGUGUGAUAGAAACCUACCGUUUUAGACUAUUAGUUUUUAGAAUUUUCUGCGUGCUGGACACGGUUCGAGGCCGCGUGGAACUGUGGAGAGACGCGGCGGCCUCGGCGUAAGCUCGUCCCGACUGACGACGCCGAAGCGCGAGAACGACUCGAUCGCCACCGCGGACGAGUCGCUGGACGGCGAGGACGAGUGACGACUGACGGGCACGUCUUCCAACUACUAUCUGUCCAACUACUACUGAAAACAAAAAAACAA